ACCAGAAGCUAUCACUUACUUUUGAAAUAGAUGACUUCCCUGACAAAUCUCUUCUUCUCCUUAACUAUAAUCUUGGAAUUAUAGUCUUGGGUGUUAAGGAAACAAGGAUUUACAUAGUUGGACAAGAGAAUACAAAAAGAACCAUUGCAUAGUGCCAAUAGAGCACAAGGUCAAAGAGACCAACCAAUCCUGAUGGGAUUGAUGUAAUUUUGAGCCAUUACAAGAGGACUUGAACAUGUUUGGGGUUCGAGGUUGAGGCUGUUUAACAUGUGUUAAAGGAGCAUGGUCUAAAUGUAAUUACCCUUGUGGCUACCUGAGAUAAUAGAGAAGAUAAUAGCUAGCAUAAUCCUGAAAGAGAGGUGGCUCUGGCGGCAGCUUGCUGAGCAUUUCGGCAUCUUGGCGAGGUGGCAGUCCAGUUUUGGAGCUGAGGAUCUCACCAAGAGCCAGAAGGAGACUUAUUCUGUUUCAACACCCAAAUUUCUUCUGCAGAGCUAUCAUCUGUCUGACAUCUCUAACAACAUUCCUACUGAGGAGCAGAUCCCUCAAACCUUGCCAUGGACCCAAUGAAGAGGAGCCUGGCUCACUUUCCCCUCCAGCCCUUUUGAACCUGCUUUAUAGUUUCCUUAGUGGAUACAUAUAUGUGUGUGUGUGUGUGUGUGUGUGUGUGUGUGUGUGUGUGUGUAUAAUCCUAAACAUCAUUAUUAUACUUGCCCAGCAUCACACAACUAGGAAAUAUCUGAAGCCACAUUUGAACCCAGGACUCCCAUCUUUAGACCUGGCUCUCAAUCCACUGAACCACCUAACUGCCCCCUCUCUAUUUUCUUCUUGAAAACCUUUAAGUAUGGGGAAAUCUCCUCUAUGUCAAAGUAGCCCAUUCUAUUUUUGGAAAUCUUCCCUGAUCUCAAGCCUG
rnacentral:lncRNA from 1 species